UACGAAGGGGGCUAGCGUUGUUCGGAAUUACUGGGCGUAAAGCGUAUGCAGGCGGAUCGUUAAGUCGGGGGUGAAAUCCCGAGGCUCAACCUCGGAACUGCCUUUGAUACUGGCAAUCUAGAGUCCGGAAGAGGUUAGUGGAAUUCCCAGUGUAGAGGUGAAAUUCGUAGAUAUUGGGAAGAACACCAGUGGCGAAGGCGGCUA
rnacentral:rRNA from 1 species